AGCAGAUGUCGCUAGUGAGGAGUCCUUGGCUUGGUGUUCCCUGUAGAUCUCUGUGAGGACUGCCGUUUGCUCAUUACCUUACUUAUUAAUACAACACGCAUAAUUUAUGAUCAUUUGAUUCAUUUCUCCAAUUAAUUAAAGAGUAUUCAUGAGAUGAAUUCCUCCUUCAAGAUAAAGGAACCUUCUCACUACUAUAACCUUGGGGUUCCCUCAUAUCAGCGACUUCCCUUCCCGCAGGAUCACAAAAUUAAACUCUUCAUUCAGCCCUACCUUAAUGGACACAAAAAGGAAUCAUCAACAGUUUCGAGCACAACGUCCUCCAAAUUAAAAACUGAAAAACUUUUUGUUGAGCCCUAUGCCCUUUCCAUAGUUUCAAAGCGAGUGUCGAAACCCCUCAAGAAGGAAGUGGACGAAGGGUACAAUGUCGUUAAUGUUGAAGAAGAAACUACUUCGAAAGCUACACAAAAAAGGUCGUCAUCCACUACAGCUCUGGAUGAUGAUGAGGAAGAAGUGGAGAUGAUACCGGUUCCGAAGAAACGACGGAUAAUCAAAUAUUCCUUUAAUAACAAGUCAACAAUCAAUUCGUCAUCGCCUUCUUCUUCUUCUGGUGUUAGCGGUGUUUCUUCACCAUCAUCCAAGGAUAAGGUUUUUAAAUCUCAAUUUUCAUCAGUGAGUGAUAAAAGAAUGAAGGAGUCAGAAUCCUCCUCCAAAACGGACUCACAGACAAUGAUCAAGUUGAGUAACGGUCAAUUCAUUCGUGUGCCUCAAAGUAUGCUUGUAAAUAUUGAGUUAUUUAAACAAAAGUCACAAGCUCUGACGGUUAGCCCCGUUAUUCAUCAAACCUCAGUGUCCUUAUCUUCUCCUUCUUGCGAGUCAAUUGCUAAAGUGGUAGUCAAGGAGAAGAAAGCAGUGACUUCUGUUGCUCCUCAGACUAUCAAUGUUGUUGGGUCGACUACCAUAACGACAAAACAGCCUAUGAUUACUGCAAAAAAGCUUAAUCCGAUUGUCCCUUCUACUAAAAUGUCUCCUACAAUUAUUCAGCCUGUAAAUAGUUUAGGGGCCACACCCCCAAUUAUAUUAUCCUCACUGAUCGAAAGAACAAAAACAAUUAAUCUUCCAAAGACUCUAAAUACUAUAAAUGCGUCGUCUAUGAUUGCAAAGAAAUCUCUAACUAUUGAGAGACCCACCUCCCGUGUUAUUCCUUCUUCUUCUUCUCAACAACAACGGGGAAAAUCCUUAUCAUCAAUUGUCGUUAAUUCUCAAUCACCCCAAUCCCACAUAAUUGCACUAAAGACACAUGAAAAGAAUGGGCAAGUAAUCUAUCUCAAGUCUGUUCCGAAUCCAAAGUCCCCAACUCCUGGUGCUACUCGUUUAAUUGUAGCUCAACCCCAGCCCAAUCAGAGACUGACUACAACAAAUAUUCAACAGGUGCUGAAUCAAACAGGGACACAUCCAGGAGUUCAAUUGCCUCUGAAAUUAGUAAACCAGCCUGCAUCUUCCAUAGAGGGCAUUUCAACAACCCCCAGGAAUCCAGUUAUAGUCAAACGAUUAAUUCCUUCUGAUUUACCACGCUUAAAUUCUCAAGUCAACAAGGGAAAGCCGUGUUCCAACUCUGUAGGAUCCCCACUCAAUGGGGCGUUAAGUUGAGUGAAGCUCUCAUGGAUAUUUCAAAGCGUGGGAUUUUUGUGGAUACAACGGCUGUCAAAGUGGAUUCCUCGUCUUGCUCCGGACAAAUAUCUACAGUGAAUAUUCAAGUUCCACAAAAGGAUCUCUUAAGUUUUGCAGUUUCUGAGACGAAAAAAGAAAAGAGAAGGCCCUUGUCUUCUACUCCGCAUCCGAUUAAGUUGUUAAAAUCUAGGAAUUCACCAACUUCUUCCAAAUCCUCAUCUUCUUUUAGCAGCAGAAAGGUUUUAAAUUCAAAAUCCAAUUAUGUUCAUGUUCUGGCUCGUAAAGGCUCUAUGAAUGAACAUCACGUUUUAUCUACUUCCACUAGUGUAAGCUCACAUUUUAAGACAAAUCAAAUGCAAUUAGAUAAAGAACAUAAUUCAUGUUAUUAUUAUAUUGAUGAAGGUCUUCCUAAAGAUAAUUUGAGACUACGAUCUGGAGAAGAAUUGUGGGACUAUCUCAUGCAUGGAGUUGUGCCUUGUUCAUCAUCCCCAAAACGCAGCAAUAGAUUAAUUCUUGGAGGUAUACCUAAAAAUAUGCCCCUACGACGGGAAAUGCCUAUAAGGAAAGCAGUUGUUAAUUUGACAUCCCUAUGGUGAUGAAUGAUGAUUGGACAAUACUACACCCCUAUCCCCUCUUAAUGGUUUUACACAACUUUUUUUAUGGUAUAUUAUGUUUUAAUAGUAUAUGCAGGGUUUAUAUGUUGAUAAAUUUAUAGCUCUCAAGUAUAUAUAUAUAUUCAUGUAUUGGUCCUCCAUAUUCUCAUCUCUUUUUUUAAUAAUUAAUUAAUUAUUGAAUAAUUUUGUAACAUUUUCACAGUGAUGAAUAAUAAUAACAUUGUUAUAUAUACUAAUCUCUGAGGAGAUUGUAAUAAUCUCUUUGAGCAAUA
rnacentral:misc_RNA from 1 species